rnacentral:rRNA from 1 species
UACGGAGGGUGCAAGCGUUAUCCGGAUUCACUGGGUUUAAAGGGUGCGUAGGUGGGCAGGUAAGUCAGUGGUGAAAUCUCCGGGCUUAAUCCGGAAACUGCCAUUGAUACUAUCUGUCUUGAAUACCGUGGAGGUGAGCGGAAUAUGUCAUGUAGCGGUGAAAUGCUUAGAUAUGACAUAGAACACCAAUUGCGAAGGCAGCUCACUACACGAAUAUUGACACUGAGGCACGAAAGCGUGGGGAUCAAACAGG